AAAUUGAAGAGUUUGAUCAUGGCUCAGAUUGAACGCUGGCGGCAGGCCUAACACAUGCAAGUCGAGCGGUAGCACAGAGAGCUUGCUCUCGGGUGACGAGCGGCGGACGGGUGAGUAAUGUCUGGGAAACUGCCUGAUGGAGGGGGAUAACUACUGGAAACGGUAGCUAAUACCGCAUAACGUCGCAAGACCAAAGUGGGGGACCUUCGGGCCUCAUGCCAUCAGAUGUGCCCAGAUGGGAUUAGCUGGUAGGUGGGGUAACGGCUCACCUAGGCGACGAUCCCUAGCUGGUCUGAGAGGAUGACCAGCCACACUGGAACUGAGACACGGUCCAGACUCCUACGGGAGGCAGCAGUGGGGAAUAUUGCACAAUGGGCGCAAGCCUGAUGCAGCCAUGCCGCGUGUGUGAAGAAGGCCUUCGGGUUGUAAAGCACUUUCAGCGGGGAGGAAGGCGGUGAGGUUAAUAACCUCACCGAUUGACGUUACCCGCAGAAGAAGCACCGGCUAACUCCGUGCCAGCAGCCGCGGUAAUACGGAGGGUGCAAGCGUUAAUCGGAAUUACUGGGCGUAAAGCGCACGCAGGCGGUCUGUCAAGUCGGAUGUGAAAUCCCCGGGCUCAACCUGGGAACUGCAUUCGAAACUGGCAGGCUAGAGUCUUGUAGAGGGGGGUAGAAUUCCAGGUGUAGCGGUGAAAUGCGUAGAGAUCUGGAGGAAUACCGGUGGCGAAGGCGGCCCCCUGGACAAAGACUGACGCUCAGGUGCGAAAGCGUGGGGAGCAAACAGGAUUAGAUACCCUGGUAGUCCACGCUGUAAACGAUGUCGAUUUGGAGGUUGUGCCCUUGAGGCGUGGCUUCCGGAGCUAACGCGUUAAAUCGACCGCCUGGGGAGUACGGCCGCAAGGUUAAAACUCAAAUGAAUUGACGGGGGCCCGCACAAGCGGUGGAGCAUGUGGUUUAAUUCGAUGCAACGCGAAGAACCUUACCUGGUCUUGACAUCCACAGAACUUAGCAGAGAUGCUUUGGUGCCUUCGGGAACUGUGAGACAGGUGCUGCAUGGCUGUCGUCAGCUCGUGUUGUGAAAUGUUGGGUUAAGUCCCGCAACGAGCGCAACCCUUAUCCUUUGUUGCCAGCGGUCCGGCCGGGAACUCAAAGGAGACUGCCAGUGAUAAACUGGAGGAAGGUGGGGAUGACGUCAAGUCAUCAUGGCCCUUACGACCAGGGCUACACACGUGCUACAAUGGCAUAUACAAAGAGAAGCGACCUCGCGAGAGCAAGCGGACCUCAUAAAGUAUGUCGUAGUCCGGAUUGGAGUCUGCAACUCGACUCCAUGAAGUCGGAAUCGCUAGUAAUCGUAGAUCAGAAUGCUACGGUGAAUACGUUCCCGGGCCUUGUACACACCGCCCGUCACACCAUGGGAGUGGGUUGCAAAAGAAGUAGGUAGCUUAACCUUCGGGAGGGCGCUUACCACUUUGUGAUUCAUGACUGGGGUGAAGUCGUAACAAGGUAACCGUAGGGGAACCUGCGGUUGGAUCACCUCCUUA
rnacentral:rRNA from 1 species